rnacentral:lncRNA from 1 species
UUGGAAAAUGCCCAGACAUCCCAAGGCUAGACUUCUAAGGAAAAGUAACUUGCCAUUCCCCUUAAAAUAUGUAACUAAAAGCUAUCUACACUUUUAUAUUUUAAAUAUAUUGUUGGGGCUUCAUUUCAAAUUGGUAUACUGUAAAACUGUUUCAGAUAGCUUUAAAUCCAAGGCAGUGGCUUUCAAACUCCUUUGACAGCAACUUACAAAAAAAAAAAUGAAAUAAUUUUUAUAUAAACCACUAUACAGACACACACACACAAAACUAAUACAAAAGUUUUAUGAAACUUUACUUCCCCUUAUUACAUGUGAUACCCUCUAAUAUUAUCUACUCCAUUUUGUUUCACUGUUUAUUAAGUGCUUGUCAUAAUCUAAUCAUAUAGGUCAGGACGUGCAGUUUGAAAAACACUCUUCUGAAAUUAUGGAUUCCACGUACUCUAGCUGGUAGUCUCUUGUCCAGAUUUUUAAAAGGCUCAUCAAAAAGCAGGAUUUGCUAAAGGAACUUCAGUCUCCAUUACAGCACUGUCUUUGGGAUUCCUACCAUAAGUUUCCAGAAGAAUAAGCAGCUUUUCCUUUGCAGAAUUGUGAUAUCCUUCCUCUUGCCCAUGAACCCACCUGGAGGAGUCAAGCCCAGCAUGGAUGCCAGAGUGCCAAAGGUGAAAAGCAGGAAAGCCAAAAUACUCAUCAAGACCAAAGGGGGAGCACAGAGCCAGAAGCUGGGAGGAGAAAGGGAGUCAAGAAAGUCAAUGCCAGGUAAAAACAGAAAUAGAGACUUGAAUAAAAACAAAGCACAAAAUGAAAUGAAGGGCCCAAGACAAUGAUUGGGAACAUUCCUUGGGGUUCGAUACUGGAUUUUGUUGAGUAUGGGUUACUUAAUUUAAAAGCACAGGCUCUGAGCAGGUACAUUCCCUCCUUAUGACUUUAUUUCCCACCUAACUGAUAGUCCACUAUUAACCAAGGCAUUAAAAACACUUAACCAGACAAGAUCUGGAAGCUGUUUAGGCAGUCCUGCUAAGGAACCAACUUAGUCCAGACUGAUUUUGCCAUGACGAUGACCACAUCUCUUAAGGACAGUUCUCUCUAGAUUCCUCCGUUGAUUAUUUUUGGAAACAAAAUACUUGAACAAAUGGUCUGCUUAAAUAAAUGGUUCAGGUGUGAGCA